CGUGGCCUUACGGCGGGCGCACCAAUGGCGGGGAAACUGAGGCCGAAGCGAAAGUGGAGGCAAUACAAKCCUGUGAAGGGGAAGAACAAAACGUGCCCAGCGUGAGAUACCCGUGACGGCCAGACGCUGCCUGCCUGCCUCAGCCUGAAGGUCUGAGCCAGGUGCAUGAACGAGGAUGGUGACCAAACAUGUACCUGCCCUGCCGAAGACGCGGGUCACCGCCCGUGGAGCGUGUCCCACGGACUUCAGCAGCACGUGUCCCCGGAUCCUGAGCCCGUUUCCCGCACGCCGGGCUGCAGCUCGCUGCAGUGUCCCCCGGGUGCCGUGAGCCGGCUGCGAGACGCUCGGGCUGCGAUGCGCGGCCACGCAAUGACAUCUCAAAGUGMGACUGCGUUUGGCCUGGCUGCUGCUCUGUUCCGGUCUCCGCAUUGGAUGGUAAGAGGGGGAUAAUAAGAGAGGAAAGGGAUAAAGAGACUGGGAGCAUAGAAAACCGGAUCAGAGUUACAGCAACAAUCGUGUGUAUCUCAGCUUUUUUUUCCCCACCUUUUCAUCCAACUCUUUAUGUAUGAGGAAYACGGAUGAGCAAUUGCAGUUUGCUGAGGACAGUAACUUCUCCGACCAGUAUAUAUGGCCAAAAGUGGAUCUGUGAAUAAGCCAUCAAUUAGAGAAAUCCUAAGGCCGCUCUAACCUUCUCCCACGGACCCCGCGUAUCCCUGAGUCUGCAGAAGGACAGAGAUUUGUGUGGCAACUUAGGCCCAUCUCCAGCUGUGGCAAGGUGAUGCUCCCACGUCCGUAGAGGCUGUGGUGUUCGCUGCGGUUACCCCGAGGCAGUCCCCAGCAGCUGUAAGUUGUAUUUGCAUAUGUGAACGUGCUCUGGACCUGCUAGGUCAGGAGUUUUUCUCUGUUGCUUCCAGGCAACAUUUUUUCAUCUGUAGUUACGAGCCGAAGAAAGACGACUCCUCCCUUCUUCGGGAGAUUUUAAAUCCUGCCUUGUGAAGUGCUCAAGUGGGGCUCUGCUUAGUGCUGAGUGACUCAAACGAGGUGACCUCACUGUUGCACUGUGGGUGGCUGUUAGUUAUGGAAAUUAUGAGUAACUAUGUCCAGAAAAAAAAGAAACUUCCUCUUCCAAAGAGGCUAUUAUUUCUCUCUGAAAGGAUAAUGGCAGAUGUUUUCCAUGG
rnacentral:lncRNA from 1 species